CCUACGGGCGGCAGCAGUGAGGAAUAUUGGUCAAUGGGCGGAAGCCUGAACCAGCCAAGCCGCGUGCAGGAAGACGGCCCCACGGGUCGUAAACUUCUUUUAUCGGGGAACAAAGCGCCCCACGUGUAGCGUUUUGCGUGUACCCGAAGAAAAAGCAUCGGCUAACUCCGUGCCAGCAGCCGCGGUAAUACGGAGGGUGCGAGCGUUAUCCGGAUUUAUUGGGUUUAAAGGGUGCGUAGGCGGUUCGGAAAGCCAGCGGUAAAAUGCCGGGGCUAAACCCCGGCCAGCCGUGGAAACUGUCGGACUAGAGACGGCGAGAAGCAGGCGGAAUGCGUGGUGUAGCGGUGAAAUGCAUAGAUAUGGCGAAGAACCCCGAUUGCGAAGGCAGCGUACCGGCGCCGGACUGACGCUGAGGCACGAAAGCGUGGGUAUCGAACAGGAUUAGAUACCCGUGUAGUC
rnacentral:rRNA from 1 species